AACGAACGCUGUCGGCAUGCCUAACACAUGCAAGUCGAACGAGACCUUCGGGUCUAGUGGCGAACGGGUGCGUAACGCGUGGGAACCUGCCCUUAGGUUCGGAAUAACUCCCCGAAAGGGGUGCUAAUACCUGAUAAUGUCUUCGGACCAAAGAUUUAUCGCCUUUGGAUGGGCCCGCGUUGGAUUAGCUAGUUGGUAGGGUAAAAGCCUACCAAGGCGACGAUCCAUAGCUGGUCUGAGAGGAUGAUCAGCCACACUGGGACUGAGACACGGCCCAGACUCCUACGGGAGGCAGCAGUGGGGAAUAUUGGACAAUGGGCGAAAGCCUGAUCCAGCAAUGCCGCGUGAGUGAUGAAGGCCUUAGGGUUGUAAAGCUCUUUUACCCGGGAUGAUAAUGACAGUACCGGGAGAAUAAGCUCCGGCUAACUCCGUG
rnacentral:rRNA from 1 species